rnacentral:rRNA from 1 species
AGUGCUGUCGUCAGCUCGUGUCGUGAGAUUGGUUAGGGUUAACGUCCCGACAACGAGCGCACCCUUGUCAUUAGUUGCCAUCAUUUGGUUGGGCACUCUAAUGAGACUGCCGGUGACAAACCGGAGGAAGGUGGGGAUGACGUCAAGUCCUCAUGGCCCUUAUGGGUAGGGCUUCACACGUCAUACAAUGGUCGGUACAGAGGGUUGCCAACCCGCGAGGGGGAGCUAAUCCCACAAAGCCGAUCGUAGUCCGGAUCGCAGUCUGCAACUCGACUGCGUGAAGUCGGAAUCGCUAGUAAUCGUGGAUCAGCAUGUCACGGUGAAUACGUUCCCGGGUCUU